rnacentral:lncRNA from 1 species
UGUCAGAGGAAGGGGAUUGUGAUGAGAGGAAAGGCCAGGGGACUGGGACACUUUUUCCUUUGUGAUUAUAAAAUUGAACAGACAAGGUUGCUUCAAGCUAGGAAGUUGCUGCUGGAAGUAUUUAGCUUUGCUGGGGCUGGGGGGCUUGACACCCACAGCCUUAUACUCCUUCCUGAGUUUCAUCCCAUCUCACAGGUUCUCCCCAACUUCAUGGCCUUUGCCUAUCUAGGAGCCUCAGACACAUAGGCUAGACAAAGGCCUCAUCCACAUGAUGCGCAGGUAUGGGUCUAGCUCCUGCAUGAGCUCAACAUCUGGGCCUGUCUGAGCUGCACAGCUGAAGAAAGAGACAAGAUGUCUAUAGCCUCACCCACUUGAGGAAUCAGGCAUGGCUGAGAAAGACAUUCGAGUUGUGCAGGUGGUGAUGAUUUGUGCUUUAGAGGAUGGAGGAGGCCUGCAGGGAAGGCGGAGCUGCGGGGAACACUCUCUAGGAGGGAGAGUAACAUGCCUACAAACACCUGGGAAGGUGAGGGCUGCCUCUCCUGCUUGGGCUGGACCUGGGACCAGCUCUCAGAGAUGGGAUUGGAGGGGCAGAAGAAAUGCCCCCAGAAAGAGGGAGGAAGCAGCAUGUUGGCAUCCUUCUCUCUCAGCUCUGGAAUGGGUUCUUCCUAAGCACAAAUGUUGUGUUCAGGGACACUCAGCCCACACUCAGCUGGUGACCCUUUAAUGUCCAAGCAUCCACAGGCAGGCACUGGCUGCCAUGGCUGUUUCCCCAUUGCCUCCUCAUGACUUCUGCCUCCUCCUCAGGAACCAGCUAGAUGUCAGGGCCGGGAGAGGUGUUAGACCCUCUAGGAAAAGAAAGCAGAGCCAGGCUGGCACGUUCUCUCUGAGACGACAAGAGUCCCCAUCCCCUUGUGAUGUCAUCAUCCUAUCCCGUUGUUCUGAAAUGAUGAAUUCCACAAAGGAAUUCCUAUCCAUGGCCCCUGCUUGGAACUAGACAGGAACAUUCCUCCAGCCUCCAUCAUCCUCCCCUUCCCCUACUCUGAGGAAUCUUCUCACCUUUCAUUAGACUCUAAGUUCCUUGGAGAGUCAGUACUCACGGGGAGUACUUUUAGGAUCAACACUUGUGGACGGGAGAAGAUGGAAGCAGGACUGGGUAGAAGAAGAAGCUGGGCUGCAAUGAAGUCCCAUUGAAGACCUCAGCUGACCUUGCAUGGAGCCUGGUACUAGGAUAUUCCUCCAGAGUUGCUCUGAGUUAGGAUAAGAGAGCUGGGCCUUUAUACGACUAGGUUGAUGAGUCCAAUGAGAUGUGGUUUGUUACCAGAUACGACCUAAGCAAGGGCACUCCCUUCAGCUGAGACAAUCGCAAAUAGAGCUGAUGCUGAGGACCAUCUCCACAGCCAGGUGCCUCUCAGCAUCCAUUACACAAUUCAUGGGAACAACUUGUUCCUGUGAAGACUUGGGCUCAGGACAUUAUUCACUCACUCAUAGUCAGGUCCUCAAAGCUAUCCCAGCUCACCCACAUAACCCAAAGUUUUCUGAUCCCACUUGGUCUGACCUGGAUUUUACUAAUGGGAAAAGUUUAGGGUGAGCAUCACGGGGGAUUGAGAAGCCACUUCCUCUGGGAUCUGAGUGCCUAGAUCUGGGGUGAGCUCUGGUAGUGGACAGAGGAAGGACGAGAGGAAAGGAAACCUCAGGCUUUUGAAGUGAGAUAAAACUUUGGAAUAUCAACAAAGUCUCCCUACCGCACAUUUCCUUGCAUUGUUCCCCACGGGGUACAAGAGGCAAAUAAAACCUAGCUGAGGACAAGACGUUAAUUUUUUCUAAUAGACUUAAUUUUUUAAGGACAGCUUUAGAUUUACAGAAAAAUUGAGCCCUAUCAUUAGCAUCUUACAUUGAUAUGAUACAUUAUUAUAAUCAAUGAACCAAUAUUGAUACAUUAUGAUUAAUCAAAGUUCAUAGUUUAUUUAGAUCUUUUCUUUUUACCUAAUGUCGUUUUUCUCUUCCAGCAUCCCAUCCAGGAUACCUGUUACAUUUACUUGUCAUAUCUCCUCAAGCUUCUCUUGGCUAUGACAGUUUUUUAGACUUUCCUUGAUUUUGAUGACCUUGACAGUUUUGAGGAGUUCUGGGCCCGAUGUUGCAGAAUGCCUCCUUAUUGAAAUUUGUCUGAUGUUUUCCUCAUGAUUAGAUUGGGGUUGUGAGUUUUGGGGGGAAGGUAAUAGAGGAAAAGUGUCAUCUUCAUCACAUCAUAUUAAAGGUACAUAUUAGUGACAUGA